rnacentral:rRNA from 1 species
UACGUAGGGCGCAAGCGUUAUCCGGAAUUAUUGGGCGUAAAGAGCUUGUAGGCGGUUUGUCGCGUCUGCCGUGAAAGCCCGGGGCUCAACUCCGGAUCUGCGGUGGGUACGGGCAGACUAGAGUGAUGUAGGGGAGACUGGAAUUCCUGGUGUAGCGGUGAAAUGCGCAGAUAUCAGGAGGAACACCGAUGGCGAAGGCAGAUCUCUGGGCCGUAACUGACGCUGAGGAGCGAAAGCAUGGGGAGCGAACAGG